AUUAGCAAAACAUCCUCUCUCCUGUGUCUGUUUCAGCCAAAAGCUCCUUCACAAGUCUGGCUUACCCUUUCAUGCCUGUGUCCACUUUAAUGAAGCAUCCCUUCAAGUAUUUGCCCCAGCAAAAAACCAUCGGACUUUCCAAAGAGCCCUUAAGCUUCUGCUUCACUGAAUCUUCUUCAUUAAGUCAGGAAUUGAAGAUGUUUUGGACAGCUGCCUGAGUCAUCUUCAGCCACUCCAAGGAUGCCAGUUGAUAUCAUAAAGACUAUGGGAGAGAUACAAAUUUUCCCUGCUGGGUUUUUGCUGAGUUUCUCAUCCCCAGAUUCCAAGCAUAUAAAGGAUGGUUGGUAUUUUAUACAC